rnacentral:misc_RNA from 1 species
GAUGAAGAACGUAGUGAAAUGCGAUAAGUAAUGUGAAUUGCAGAAUUCAGUGAAUCAUCGUAUCUUUGAACGCACAUUGCGCCCGCCAGUAUUCUGGCGGGCAUGCCUGUUCGAGCGUCGUUACAACCCUCAGGCCCCCGGGCCUGGCGUUGGGGAUCGGCGGAAGCCCCCUGCGGGCACAACGCCGUCCCCCAAAUACAGUGGCGGUCCCGCCGCAGCUUCCAUUGCGUAGUAGCUAACACCUCGCAACUGGAGAGCGGCGCGGCCACGCCGUAAAACACCCAACUUCUGAAUGUUGACCUCGAAUCAGGUAGGAAUACCCGCUGAACUUAAGCAUAUCAAUAAGCGGAGGA